GGAGGUUUUCUCUCUAUCGUGGGCAUCGGGAGGCCUAAUCCCCACUCGCCGCGGUUAUUCUUUGCCAGUCCCCAAGCUCCCCCACGCGCUCCUCUCCUCCAGCUCCUCAGAUCCGGCGACCUCCGGCUCCUCGCCGCCGCCACGGAAAUUCGGCGCCUCCGCGCCCUUUAUCGACCCAUGGAGACCGGGCUCAUUUCCUUCCUGCCCCUCCUUCGACGGCUGUCCCGAAUUUCCGGCGUCGCGCGUGGCCGGAGCUGAGGACGCGUUCCUCUCCGUCUCCCAUGUCCCGGUCGCGCGCGCGGCAUGCCUAUGUAAAGCCCGUCGUCGCCGUGCCCCUGGCUUGCCCGUUGUCCCCGUGCCCGCUCUUCACCAUCCUCGGCGCCAUAUCCGCAAAAGGUUUCUAGUCGAGGGCGUCCUGCAGCGAGCAGUGCAGGAAAUUGACAUAUGGCGGCGAGCGGAUGCAUGUCCGUAAGCGAGUGGGUGAGCGGCGAGCGGGUGCAUGUCCGGCAACGAGCGGGUGAGUGGCGGUCGGAAUCGGAGGUCAGGCGUGCGGCGGGAGGGCUCUGCACCAACCGUGUCCUCAUCAACGUCGUGAUUGGCCGGCCGACGGUGCUUCCGGUGGUAUCGGCUUCCUUGUCGGGCAGCGCACCAGGUGGUGACUGCAGGCGGCGCAGCGUCGUGGUCGGGCAGCACAACAGAUUAUUUUGCCGGCGGCGCUGCGGGUGGGCCAGCGACCUCAGCUCUUCUGUGGUUAGUUUCACGCCAGGGAGUGGUAAUCUCUGUUUCGCUGGAUAUCAGGAACAAACAGAAAAGAUCUCUCUCCAGUUCAGACCUACAGCUGCACUGAGUCCUGCUACCGAUCUUGUUUGGUCUUCCCGUACAGAUGUUCCUAGACUCCUCAGAAACCUUGGUUCCGUUCUUGUGAGCAUCGUGGUCUAGUGUUGAUGCAUGUUGCUGCAACCUUAGCAUAUUCACUUGUUUGUUUACACAAAUCCAAGCUCUGUAAUCAUAUUUCAGCCACCAAGCCAAGGUUGAUAUUAUAACGAUAUCUUUGAUAGCAAUACUGUUGCGUAAUAAGCGUUGGCUUUGUCUCUUCAUACAUGCCAAAUAAGUAAUGACUAGCUAUUUGGCUUCACAUGGAAGUUUUAAAAUGUUAUGAAAAAGUUACUCACAUACAGCAAAAGAAAAUGAUAUGCUUACAAAGCACAUCAAUGCCCCUAGUGUUAUUUCAGCUGUAUCUGGUCUUUGGAAAUGGGUAUAUGUACAAAUAAGAAGUAUGCGUUUGGGUAAAUCCUUCUGUUAGUAAAUCUUUUACCUCUUUCUGUUUGGCAUGCAUCUCAGUUUUUAUGAUUUUCCUGUCAUUAUACAUGACUUUUGUUAUGCAUAAAUACCUCUCAACUUUUCAGAUGCCUAGUUAUGGUAUUGUCAUUUGCAUGAAAAUUGAUGAUAGUGUGAAUGGAAAAUUCAUGGAAGUUUGUGUGAUAUGUUAGUUGCUUGCUUCGAGCUUUGACCAUGUUCCUAGCCUAGUAGAUUUUGCCUUCCAGACAUAUAUAGACCAAGUAUGCCAAAUGUAUUUUAAAUAUGGCAAAAUCGUGUGGAGCUUAUUUCAGUUUCCUGGCCUAGAAUAGGUGACAUUCUAGGAUUUUUAAGGGGUAAUUUCUUUGACUCCAAUCUGAAACAUGACAGAACCCUAAAUGGCCGCAUAAUACAUUCUUCUUGCACCUGAUGCUACAUGGGUCAUAUAUUUCUUCUAUGUUAGCCCCUAGUCAAUUUCUAGUCCAAUUCAUGAGUGCCAGCUUGGUGAUGAUACCUUUUGUUAUUCAGAAAUAUACAUUUAUCAGUUGCUUCUCGUGUGACAUAACUUUGUUAUUUGGAAGUGAUUAUCACCUUUUCAGCUUUAGUUGUAAUAUUUUCGUGUGCUUGAAAAUAGAUUAGUGUGAUCUGUUAGUUUCUUUGCGUCCACCUUUGAUCGUAUUAUUACUUAUUGCUCUAUCAGAUUUUGCAUUUACGGACCGAGACAGCUUCAGUAUCACAGAUGUAUUUUCGAUCUGGCAAAAUUACCGUGGAGGAUAUUCCAGUAGCUGGCCUUUGAACAUAGAUGACAUUGUUGGUUUAUUAAUCUAUUAUUUUUCAUCCUCCAUUCUCAAAUAUGACGGAAUUCUAAAUGGUUGCAGGAUAUUGGCACAGCUUAUUCUUUUGCUCAUUUUUGUUCGUGUAGAGAUCCAGGAGAGACGGCAAUGUUCAAAAAAUCAAGUUGAACUGGGGAUGUGUCUUACUCCUAGGUACACAAUGAAAUGUAGAGCUACACCGCAUGUUGUGGUCUUCAGGGUCGGGCUGACUAGUACGAUGACAUCAACGAGUUGUCUAGUGGAGCUGAUGUAACUAAAUAAUUUGCACCGACUAAUGUAAUUUAUUACAUGUUCACAUAUUAAUUCCUUUAUUUUUAUAUGCACCCUAUGGCUGAAAUAUGUAAAGACAUGUGUGCAUGGACACAUAUAUAUGCUAUUCAAAUGGAGUUCUUACUCUA